GGGGUUGUAGGGUAGUCUGGUCCAUCCUACGGCGUUCGGGACGCCGUGACCUGAGUUCAAAUCUCAGCAACCCCA
rnacentral:tRNA from 2 species